rnacentral:rRNA from 1 species
UACGGAGGGUGCAAACGUUGCUCGGAAUCAUUGGGCGUAAAGCGCACGUAGGCGGCUCGUUAAGUCGGAUGUGAAAGCCCUGGGCUCAACCCAGGAAGUGCAUACGAAACUGGCGAGCUUGAGUAUGGAAGAGGGUCGCGGAAUUCCCGGUGUAGAGGUGAAAUUCGUAGAUAUCGGGAGAAACACCAGUGGCGAAGGCGGCGACCUGGGCCAAUACUGACGCUGAGGUGCGAAAGCGUGGGGAGCAAACAGG